rnacentral:rRNA from 1 species
GACAGAGGUGCCGAGCGUUAGGCGGAAUUACUGGGCUUAAAGCGCGUGUAGGUGGCGGCCUAAGUACCUUGUGAAAUCCUGCGGCUCAACCGCAGAACUGCUUGGUAUACUGGGUCGCUUGAGUCAUCCAGGGGCAACUGGAACAAGCGGUGGAGCGGUGAAAUGCGUAGAUAUCGCUUGGAACGCCAAAGGUGAAAACAGGUUGCUGGGGAUGUUCUGACACUGAGACGCGAAAGCCAGGGGAGCGAACGGG